rnacentral:rRNA from 1 species
AGAGUUUGAUCCUGGCUCAGAACGAACGCUGGCGGCAGGCCUAACACAUGCAAGUCGAGCGCGCCUUUCGGGGUGAGCGGCGGACGGGUUAGUAACGCGUGGGAACGUACCCUUUUCUGCGGAAUAGCCUCUGGAAACGGAGAGUAAUACCGCAUACGCCCUUCGGGGGAAAGAUUUAUCGGAGAAGGAUCGGCCCGCGUUAGAUUAGAUAGUUGGUGGGGUAACGGCUUACCAAGUCUACGAUCUAUAGCUGGUUUUAGAGGAUGAUCAGCAACACUGGGACUGAGACACGGCCCAGACUCCUACGGGAGGCAGCAGUGGGGAAUCUUGGACAAUGGGCGCAAGCCUGAUCCAGCCAUGCCGCGUGAGUGAAGAAGGCCUUAGGGUCGUAAAGCUCUUUCGCCUGUGAUGAUAAUGACAGUAGCAGGUAAAGAAACCCCGGCUAACUCCGUGCCAGCAGCCGCGGUAAUACGGAGGGGGUUAGCGUUGUUCGGAAUUACUGGGCGUAAAGCGCGCGUAGGCGGAUUGGAAAGUUGGGGGUGAAAUCCCGAGGCUCAACCUCGGAACUGCCUCCAAAACUCCCAGUCUAGAGUUCGAGAGAGGUGAGUGGAAUUCCAAGUGUAGAGGUGAAAUUCGUAGAUAUUUGGAGGAACACCAGUGGCGAAGGCGGCUCACUGGCUCGAUACUGACGCUGAGGUGCGAAAGUGUGGGGAGCAAACAGGAUUAGAUACCCUGAUAGUCCACACCGUAAACGAUGAAUGCCAGUCGUCGGGCAGUAUACUGUUCGGUGACACACCUAACGGAUUAAGCAUUCCGCCUGGGGAGUACGGUCGCAAGAUUAAAACUCAAGGAAUUGACG